rnacentral:rRNA from 1 species
AUUGAACGCUGGCGGCAUGCCUUACACAUGCAAGUCGAACGGUAACAGGUCUUCGGAUGCUGACGAGUGGCGAACGGGUGAGUAAUACAUCGGAACGUGCCUAGUAGUGGGGGAUAACUACUCGAAAGAGUGGCUAAUACCGCAUGAGAUCUACGGAUGAAAGCAGGGGAUCGCAAGACCUUGUGCUACUAGAGCGGCCGAUGGCAGAUUAGGUAGUUGGUGGGAUAAAAGCUUACCAAGCCGACGAUCUGUAGCUGGUCUGAGAGGGCGAUCAGCCACCCUGGGACUGGGACACGGCCCAGACUCCUACGGGAGGCAGCAGUGGGGAAUUUUGGACAAUGGGCGCAAGCCUGAUCCAGCAAUGCCGCGUGCAGGAUGAAGGCCUUCGGGUUGUAAACUGCUUUUGUACGGAACGAAAAGCCCUGGGUUAAUACCCUGGGGUCAUGACGGUACCGUAAGAAUAAGCACCGGCUAACUACGUGCCAGCAGCCGCCGUAACAC